rnacentral:rRNA from 1 species
UACGGAGGAUCCAAGCGUUAUCCGGAUUUAUUGGGCGUAAAGCGCGCGCAGGCGGUCCUUUAAGUCUGAUGUGAAAGCCCACGGCUCAACCGUGGAGGGUCAUUGGAAACUGGGGGACUUGAGUACAGAAGAGAAGAGUGGAAUUCCACGUGUAGCGGUGAAAUGCGUAGAGAUGUGGAGGAACACCAGUGGCGAAGGCAGCUCUCUGGGUCCCUACCGACGCUGGGGUGCGAAAGCAUGGGGAGCGAACAGG